rnacentral:rRNA from 1 species
GAUGAACGCUAGCGACAGGCUUAACACAUGCAAGUCGAGGGGCAGCACGGGAGUAGCAAUACAACUGGUGGCGACCGGCGCACGGGUGAGUAACGCGUAUGCAACCUACCUAUCAGAGGGGAAUAACCCGGCGAAAGUCGGACUAAUACCGCAUAAAACAGGGGCACCGCAUGGUGAUAUUUGUUAAAGAAAUUCGCUGAUAGAUGGGCAUGCGUUCCAUUAGGUAGUUGGUGAGGUAACGGCUCACCAAGCCGACGAUGGAUAGGGGAACUGGGAGGUUGGUCGCCCACACUGGUACUGAGACAGGGACCAGACGCCUACGGGAGGCAGCAGUGAGGAAUAUUGGUCAAGGGGCGAGAGCAUGAACCAGCCAAGUCGCGUGAAGGAAGAAGGAUCUAUGGUUCGUAAACUUCCUUUGCAGGGGAAUAAAGUGCAGGACGUGUCCUGUUUUGUAUGUACCCUGAGAAUAAGGAUCGGCUAACUCCGUGCCAGCCGCCGCAGUAAAAC